rnacentral:rRNA from 1 species
UUCCCGAUUUAAAGGGAUCUAUGGAUUUAUGAAUGUUAAUGUUGAAAAAUUAUUUAUAAUAAAUUUAUAGAUAUUAGAUGUUAUUCGAACUUUAAGAUAUCUGGUUUUUUAAGAAAUAAAUUUAAUUUAUUUAUUAAUAUAUAGUUUGAUAAUUAGUUAUUUGACUUUUAUUAAUAAGAAAUAUUUUUGGGGAUAAGCUUGGAAAUAAAUAUUUAAUUGGAUUUUAUAUGAUAUUUAAUUGGAUUAGAAGUUUCUAUUUAUAAAUAGUGUGUUAUUACAAAAUAUUGAUUUUAUAAGAUUUUUAUUUUAUUUAAGUUUUUAUUAGAAUAUUUAAUUUAAUUUGGUAAUUAGGGAAAUAAUGAUUAAAUUAGUAUAAUUUAUUAUGUAAUAUGAUUUGUUAUAUUUUAGGUAUAAUGAAAGGAAUUCGGCAAUAUUUAUUUUCGCCUGUUUAUUAAAAACAUGGUUUUUUGAUUAUAAUUUAAAAUCGGACCUGCCCAAUGAGGGAUUGAAUGGCUGCAGUAUUUUGACUGUACUAAGGUAGCAUAAUAAUUAGUCUUUUAAAUGGGGACUGGAAUGAAGGGUUGGACGAGAAAUAAUCUGUCUUUAUUGUAUUUAAUUAGAAGUUUAUUUUUAAGUUAAAAAGCUUAAAUUUUAUUAAAAGACGAGAAGACCCUAUAGAACUUUAUAUGAAAUUAGUUAGGGAUUAGUGUAAAUCUUUAUUUUUAAUUAAUCGUAGUAUUUAGUUGGGGCGAUUGGGAAAUUGAAUAAACUUUUUUAUAAAAUGAACAUUGAUUGAUGGUUAAGUGAUCCAAUUAUUUUGAUUAAUUGAGUAAGUUACCUUAGGGAUAACAGCGUAAUCUUUUUUGAUAGUUCGUAUUGGAAAAAGGGAUUGCGACCUCGAUGUUGGAUUAAAAUUAAUUAUGGGUGAAGAGGCUCAUAUAUUAGGUCUGUUCGA